rnacentral:lncRNA from 10 species
GAGUGUCCGCUGUGAGCCUCGGGAUGGGUGAGGAAAGCUGCCACACCCUUCUGCCACUACAUCUACAUGGACACGCUUUCUUUGGAUACAUCCACGACAAACCUUUUCCUCUUAAAUUUCCACGUGUGAAUGAGAUCCCGGGAAGGAAACCAGUGAGGCUCGCGCAUUACAGGGCAUGAGGAAAUUACAGACUCUGAAGUUUGUGAGGCCAUCUUAAGCGAUCAUUUUACACAGAAAAAGCAAUUCUGGUCGAUUACAAAAGCCUCCACUGCCCAGAAUAUAGUUCGGCCUGGACAUGAGCUGGUGUCAGACUCCAGAAAGUGCAUUCUGUCCGGCACAGACAACCUGGGAAUCAAAGCUCUCUGGUAGCUGAUGCCCGCUCCCUUUCCAACGCUCAGUGCCGUUCCUCCUUCCUCUGCUCCCUCAGACGGAACCGGGCUGGCUGCCGCUGUUCUGAGAAGCCUGCGGCUGAGUGCGGGCUUGACAUGAGAUAUUUAUCAUCUCAGGAUGUCUUCCCUCAGAUCGCCGGCUCUCCACCCCCAGACUUCUUUAUCUUAUUUUGCUAAACAAGAUGAGUUUCCAUCACUGCUAGAAGUAGUGAUUAAUUCUGCCGAAGCUUCCUGCCCUUGCUGGGUAAUUUGCUGUGUUUGGGAAGAAGAUGCUCACUGCACAGCUCUGCUGUCAGAGGUGUCCCUACUGCUUUGUCAAACGCUCGCGCCUCUAUUGUCUUCUGCCAAUCCGUCAGGCCUGUGGUCCUUUCCUCAUUUGCCGGUUCUGAGUUUUCUGUGGGGACGACUGAUGCGGGGUCUGUGGGGAGACUGUGUCAGGAGGCUGGGGUGGGCUGGGGAGGGCCCCCGGCGGUGGCUCCAAGGCGUCUCCGCCGUGAUGGAGAACAGAGUGGCUGGCUGCCCCACUGUCAGCCGGUUCUGAAAGUGGGAAUGACUCAGCUGAGCUGAGAUGUCACUGGUGGAGACUCAGACUGAGGAUUCUGACUCCCUGGGCUGAGGAAGAGCAGUGCUGGGAACACGGGGCGGACAAGGUAUGACGAAGCUGGAGUGCCUCAUACCAUCCCCAUGGAAGCGGCGACGGACCCCCAGAACCGUUCCUGGGCCGUGGGAGCGAGGACGCUGGGGACACAAGGACGAGCUGAAGAAGUUUUCCCAAUCGUGGCUGUCGGAGGGAGGACGUGGCGUCGUGGUGGGCCAGAGUAUCAGCCUCAACACCACCCACCCUUCAGGCCGCAGCCCUCCCCGUAGCUGCUGUGUGCACUGGAGGGCACUUGGCAGCAUCUCCAGCCUCCCCACUAAGAAACCAGAUGCCAGGAGCAUCUGCGCCCCUCCCCAAGGUGCAGCUGCCAAAAACAUCGCCCGACAUUGCCAAAUGUUGUCCCCUGGGGGUGGGGACAAACGCCCCUCCUCCACCUUGAGGACUGCAGCCGGAACUCAAUGAAGAGCAGCGGCCAGUGUCUCUUGUGGGGUCUGUCCACAGCCAUCUGGGUGAGUUUCUCACCUCAGCUCAGAGGGAGGGUGACGUGCGUGGACGGCUAAGCCCCUUCGCGAGGCAGCUGCAUCCCCACCCCAGGCCUGGGCUGCACCGUGAGGCUUUCCCGCCUACUGUGCACAUCCUGGGAGUUUGGGAAAAAUCCUGAGAAAUGAGGCCCAGGCUCCCUCCUCGCCACUUUCAAGCCAGAAGGAUGUACAGAGUGUGGUCAGAAUUAACACGAAGUGGCACCUGCUGCCAGGCUCUGCCCGCUUCUUUCUCAGGCCUUCCAUCACCUCCUCCCCAGGACAGCCUUGGGAGGCACCUGGAUUCCUCCCGCUUACCGAUGCCACAAACGUGUAAAACGACCUGUCCAAGGCCACACAUCUUAAAAUCUCCCACUGUCAAUCGCUAGACCCAUUUCUUCCAGAGGGGUGAGACUGUCCUUAGGCAAUGUGACCUGUGCCAUUAGCGUGUGUGCUCUGCGGACUAAAAAUUCUAAAAAAUCAUCCUGAAGACAUUUAGAUUUGGUUUCAUUCUGUGUUGAUCUUUAUCAUCAAAUUUGCCUUCCUAAUGGAAUGGUGCCUGUGUCAACAUCCAAAUGAGCUUGCAUUCUCUGAGCACUCACAACCGACGGUGUGUGUGUCUGUGAGAAUCUGUGUGUCUUUCUGUGUGUGUCUGUAUGCGUAUCUGUGGGUUGUGUGUGUGUGUGUGUGUGUCUGCAUGAAUCUGUAUGUCUUUCUGUGUGUGUCUGUGUGCGUAUCUGUGGGUUGUGUAUCGUCUGUGGUGUGUCUGCUGGAAAUCGGGCUGUCUUUCGUGGUGUCUGUGUGCGUAUCUUGGGUGGGGUGUGGGUCGUGUGUGUGGUGUGGUGUGCGUGCAGGAAUCUUGUAUGUCUUUCUGUUGGGCUGUGUGCGUAUCUGUGGUGGUGUAAUGUCUGUGUGAUGUCGAUGCGGUCGAAUCUGUGUGUCUUUCUGUGUGUCUGUGUGCGUAUCUGGAGGGUUGUGUAUGUCUGUGUGUGUGUGUCUGUGUGUGUCUGCGUGAAUCUGUGUGUCUGUGUGUCUGUGGCAUGCUGUUGGUUGCAAUUGGUGUGUUUUGUUGUGUGUGUGUCUGUAUGCGUCUAAGUCUAUAUGUGUCUGUGUCUGGGCGUGUGUGUUUGUAUGUCUGUGUGUGCCAGUGUUUUGGGGUGUGGUCAGUCGUGUCUGUGUGUCCCUGUGUGUCUGUGUUACGUCCGUGUGUGUCUGUGUGUGGUUUUGGGUUGGAGCUGGCGGAGGCAGGGUUGAUAAGAGGAACUGGUUUAGGGAAGAGGAGCAGCAAGGCGACAGGCCCAUCCUGGAGACGGGUCCCUCACCUCACCUCCACGGGGGAAGCUGCCUGGGUGUGGGCAGAGCAUGUGGCCCUCGUCACCAGACUGCGGCAGCCCAGCUGACCUCCUGACCCUCAUUUCCGUACUUUGAAGGCCCCUGAUGUGUUUAUGUGUUGUGUGGUGUGUGGCUGGUGUGGUAAUUAAUAAGUGGCUGUAUGUGUGUAGUGUGUGUGUGUGUGUGUAUUUGUUGUGUUUGGUGUUUGUGGUGUUGAUGUGUGGUUUGUAUGGUGUAGUGUUUGGCGGUGGGUGUAUGGUGGUGUAGUUUUGUGUUAGUGUGCAUGUGGUGUGGGAGGUGUGUGCGUG